GCACUCACUUUGGCAGCACACCUGCUAAAAUUGAAGGGCUACAGAGAAGAAUAUCAUGGCCCUUUUGCAAGAAUGACACACAAAAAAAUUGUGAAGCAUUCUGUACUUUU
rnacentral:snRNA from 1 species